UCUAUAGGCAAGGACUUCCAGUUAAUUCCUUGCCCAACUGUUCGAGUCCUUGCCCAACCCUUCACUAUUAACUCCUCUGGUCUAUCACUUGGCUAUUAGAGAAAAUCUCUCUUAUGACUCUAGGAUGAAGAAGACCCCAGAUCCCUAAGUACCCCAACCGCACAUGUCUACCUUCUUAGUGCGGAUCUGGUACUACACAUGAAUAUCCAUUCCCAAACUGAAGCUAAUUUCUCGAUUUCAUGCCUCGUUGUUGUCAUCGCCACCUUCAUCCGGUCUUUUGCUCCCGCAAACUUUUAAGAGACGAUGAAGAAGAACCCAAUACACAAAAGGCCUUUACCUUUUCGCUCCCAUUUCUUUGUUUUUUGAGUAUGCAAUUUUUGUUCCAAUUGAUCAAUCCCUGUUUCAAAGUUCAAUUCUUUACCUUACCCUACUUGGGGUUGAACUCUACUUGGGGUUGAAAUUUCUUUAAUUUUUUAUGUUUGUUGAACUGAACAUUUCCUUUGUUACUGGUACUUGCUUCUAGGUCUUAGUUUUUUUCACUUUCUGAAAGUUCAAAUCAUUGUGGGUUUUUCUGAAACAAAAACUUCAAUCGAUACUUAGUGUUGGGUGUACUUUGUUUUUCCCAUUUCUUCUAUCCAAAUUGUAAUCAAGUGUGUUUUUUUUAUUUGCUGUUUCGUCCCUCCACAAUUUCAAUGUAUAUCGAUAUAUGCAUCGUUAUUUAUUUUAGCUUGAUUUCCUAUAGACAUGAAGUGGGUCUGGCUUGUUUUGCUUUAGCAAUGGUUCUUUUACUUGUUUAAUUUGUUUGCACUUCAACCACUUUAUGAAUUUUGCUCGUUAAGGAAAUAAUACUUAGCCUAGUUUCCUCGGAUUUAAAAUAAAUGUUAUGAGUUCACCAAAAAAAAAGAAAAAAAAAUGUUUUGAGCUAAAAACAGAAACCUCAUUUGUCUACGGAGAAUGUAUGCACAACCGAAUGCUUUUUUGGGUAGGCUGAUGUCCCUACAAUGGGUUGGGAAAUUGAAAAAUAGCAAAGCGGGCAAUGAAGUUGUAAACUUUUUACAUAUCUAUUUGGUGGUGUAGGUAAAAUAUUGGUGGAUGGGAAGGUGGUCAACAAAGCAUGUACUCUAGUAUCUGAUAAAUCUGUUGUAAAGAAUAUGGCUGAAGUCCCCAAAUAUGUAUCUAGCAGGACAUAAGUUAGAAGAUGCCAUACAUUGAAUAGCUAGGUAUGAAUAUUACUGGCAAAGUAGCUAUUGAUUCAGGGUUGUCAACUGGUGGAUUUACCGAUUGUUUACUUCAGUAUGGUGCAUCAUUUGUUUAUGGAGUUGAUGUUGGAUAUGGCCAGGUUGUCGGUGUUUCUAUUUUUGUUGGGACUUGGUAUAUUUGUUUGUUCUUUUGCUUAAGAUUACAUCAGUAAAAGACAUACAGUAUUUUGCAUCUUCUAUUAGUAAAUUACUCUUAGUCUAGGCUUGCUUUGAUUUUGCUAAUCUUGUUAUUGAUUAGAGUUUACUCGAUUUUUGAUGUACAAACGAACUACUUGUUUUUAAUUAGAGGAAUUAAAAAAAUCUGGAAUGACA